GCCCGUGUAGCUCAGUGGUAGAGCGUCCGGUCCACACCCGGAAGGCCCCAGGUUCGAGCCCUGGCGCGGGUA
rnacentral:tRNA from 1 species